GAAGUGUCCCAGGUGGCGGUGGAGGACCCUGACGUUCAGUGAUUGGAUGACCUCUUCAGCGGGGCGAGGCUCGGAGAUCCCCAGCCUAUCAGAGGACACGAAGAGCUCGAUGCCAUUCUUCUUCUCCUCCGGUUGAUGUGCACGUGUCCUGCAGGAACGCCCAGCGCUGCCGCUACGCCUUCCCGAAACCACCGAAGAAGACUGACGUUCAGCCUCCUCACAUCCACAGCCAGAACCCAACAUGGCCGUGGAUCUGCAGUGAUUUUGAUCUGCAGCCUGAUCACCAAACAGAUCGAAUCAGAACAUCAUCUCUGCGUCUCCUGCUGUGUUAUUUUAUCUCUCCUCCUCCAUCUCUUCCCAUCUGGUUUUCCCAACAGUCUCUCAGCUUUCAGCAACAGUGAUACAGGAGACAGGUGAAACACACAUUAAUGACUCAUCCUGGAUUUUACCGGGAUUGGUGUGUAUAUGUGUGUGUGUGUGUGUGUGUGUGUGGGGGGGGGAAUAACCACAGGAAACACAUCUUUGUAAGAAGACCCUAAGGGCUCAUGAAAACACACACACACACACAGCUGAUUGGUUUGUGUUGCUGAUGUUGCUGAGACACACCGACUAUGGACGCCUUUUUAACCCCCUCACACUGAAGACAGUCAAAACGUCAUAUUUCUAUGUUGAGAAGCUACAGAGACACCACAAGAGACAAGAACUGUGAUUGGUCAGCUUCUGUUUUCUCCAACAAGUUCCCGAUACUGGUAGACAGCGUUGAACCGUCACAGUACGUGUAUAUGUGUGUGUAUGUGCGGAACCAAAGUUCACAAGCGCGAGUUCCGUCAAAUUUUCCGUGUGCCGUGUGAUGCAAAUGACGCGACACGAACAUGCAACAUUUGCGUCAUUAGAGUUGAAAUAUAUCAAGAAAUCUGUGUGACGCUGUGUCGCGACAGCCUAUCAGCGUCAAGACUCUCCUCCUGUCGUCACUGACGUCCUGACGUUGCUGGCACUGAUCGAUCCAAAC